rnacentral:rRNA from 1 species
GAUGAACGCUGGCGGCGUGCCUAAUACAUGCAAGUCGAGCGAACAGAUGAGGAGCUUGCUCCUCUGACGUUAGCGGCGGACGGGUGAGUAACACGUGGAUAACCUACCUAUAAGACUGGGAUAACUUCGGGAAACCGGAGCUAAUACCGGAUAAUAUAUUGAACCGCAUGGUUCAAUAGUGAAAGACGGUUAUGCUGUCACUUAUAGAUGGAUCCGCGCCGCAUUAGCUAGUUGGUAAGGUAACGGCUUACCAAGGCAACGAUGCGUAGCCGACCUGAGAGGGUCAGCGGCCACACUGGAACUGAGACACGGUCCAGACUCCUACGGGAGGCAGCAGUAGGGAAUCUUCCACAAUGGGCGAAAGCCUGACGGAGCAACGCCGCGGGAGUGAUGAAGGUCUUCGGAUCGUAAAACUCUGUUAUUAGGGAAGAACAAAUGUGUAAGUAACUAUGCACGUCUUGACGGUACCUAAUCAGAAAGCCACGGCUAACUACGUG